GGCGCUCAAAGGUUCCCUCAGAAUGGUUGGAAAUCAUUCAUAGAGUGUAAAGGCAUAAGGGAGCUUGACUGCGAGACCUACAAGUCGAGCAGGGUCGAAAGACGGACUUAGUGAUCCGGUGGUUCCGCAUGGAAGGGCCAUCGCUCAACGGAUAAAAGCUACCCCGGGGAUAACAGGCUUAUCUCCCCCAAGAGUUCACAUCGACGGGGAGGUUUGGCACCUCGAUGUCGGCUCAUCGCAUCCUGGGGCUGUAGUCGGUCCCAAGGGUUGGGCUGUUCGCCCAUUAAAGCGGUACGCGAGCUGGGUUCAGAACGUCGUGAGACAGUUCGGUCCCUAUCCGUCGUGGGCGUAGGAAAUUUGAGAGGAGCUGUCCUUAGUACGAGAGGACCGGGAUGGACAUACCUCUGGUGUACCAGUUGUCGUGCCAACGGCAUAGCUGGGUAGCUAUGUGUGGACGGGAUAAGUGCUGAAAGCAUCUAAGCAUGAAGCCCCCCUCAAGAUGAGAUUUCCCAACUUCGGUUAUAAGAUCCCUCAAAGAUGAUGAGGUUAAUAGGUUCGAGGUGGAAGCAUGGUGACAUGUGGAGCUGACGAAUACUAA
rnacentral:rRNA from 1 species